rnacentral:rRNA from 1 species
CCUACGGGAUGCAGCAGUAGGGAAUCUUCGGCAAUGGACGAAAGUCUGACCGAGCAACGCCGCGUGAGUGAAGAAGGUUUUCGGAUCGUAAAACUCUGUUGUUAGAGAAGAACAAGUAGGAGAGUAACUGCUCUUACCUUGACGGUACCUAGCCAGAAAGCCACGGCUAACUACGUGCCAGCAGCCGCGGUAAUACGUAGGUGGCAAGCGUUGUCCGGAUUUAUUGGGCGUAAAGCGAGCGCAGGCGGUUUUUUAAGUCUGAUGUGAAAGCCCUCGGCUCAACCGAGGAAUGUCAUUGGAAACUGGAGGACUUGAGUGCAGAAGAGGAGAGUGGAAUUCCAUGUGUAGCGGUGAAAUGCGUAGAUAUAUGGAGGAACACCAGUGGCGAAGGCGACUCUCUGGUCUGUAACUGACGCUGAGGCUCGAAAGCGUGGGGAGCAAACAGGAUUAGAUACCCGGGUAGUC